GCCGCUGGAGGCUGUGGGUCCUGGGAGCUCAAGUGCAGCCCCGUGGUGAAAUUCAUCUAGCAAGCACUACUGUGAGGUUCUAUCUGGCAAAGGGACACGUGGAGAUGGGGACCAAGAGGAGGAGGCAUCCUGGACGUCACCAGGUGCCCCAUCCACGGCGAGGGAAGCCUGGACCCGGCUCUGCUGUCACUCAGAACAGGUCGGGGACUCCGGUGACCACGUCCCUGCCCGCUGCAUGCUUGGAAAGCACUGCCUUUGCCAGAAGCCGAGGCGAGAAGGCUCCCAAAGCAGACACCGGACCCCCGAGUAGCACUGGUCUCCACGGGCCACCCCGGGAGCUGUAGGGCGAGGCCCACCCGCGCGCCGUACUGCGCAUGCGUCAGUCGGCUGAGCAGGAGGCCGCCCGCGCAGCCUCGCUCCCGUCCGGUCGCCGUGGCAACGGGCUCGCGGGGGGAGGGGCCGCGCCGUGGCGGCUGCUAUUUCUGCUGCUUCCUGUUCCUUGCGGCCACGUCGCCAUGGCAACGGAGUUACUCAGCUCGGCCGCCUCUCGGCUCGGCUGGCGCGCGUGACCCCGGCCGCUCGCGCCCCCUCGUCCCCCU
ensembl:lincRNA Gm14486 predicted gene 14486